GUGGUAAUGCCGGAUGCUCCGGUUGGAUGCAUGUCCUUCCGGGAAAGAUUCUAUCGGUAUGGGAUGGGGUCGCGUCCUAUCAGCUUGAUGGCGGGGUAACGGCCCACCAUGGCUUCGACGGGUAGCCGGCCUGAGAGGGCGACCGGCCACAUUGGGACUGAGAUACGGCCCAGACUCCUACGGGAGGCAGCAGUGGGGAAUAUUGCACAAUGGGCGCAAGCCUGAUGCAGCGACGCCGCGUGCGGGAUGGAGGCCUUCGGGUUGUAAACCGCUUUUGAUCGGGAGCAAGCCCUUCGGGGUGAGUGUACCUUUCGAAUAAGCACCGGCUAACUACGUGCCAGCAGCCGCGGUAAUACGUAGGGUGCAAGCGUUAUCCGGAAUUAUUGGGCGUAAAGGGCUCGUAGGCGGUUCGUCGCGUCCGGUGUGAAAGCCCAUCGCUUAACGGUGGGUCUGCGCCGGGUACGGGCGGGCUGGAGUGCGGUAGGGGAGACUGGAAUUCCCGGUGUAACGGUGGAAUGUGUAGAUAUC
rnacentral:rRNA from 1 species